UACGGAGGGGGCAAGCGUUGUUCGGAAUUAUUGGGCGUAAAGCGUAUGUAGGCGGCUAGGUAAGUCAGGCGUGCAAGCCCGUGGCUCAACCACGGAAUUGCGUUUGAAACUGCUUAGCUUGAGUACAGGAGAGGAAAGCGGAAUUCCCAGUGUAGCGGUGAAAUGCAUUGAUAUUGGGAAGAACAUCUGUGGCGAAGGCGGCUUUCUGGUCUGUUACUGACGCUGAGAUACGAAAGCCAGGGGAGCGAACGGG
rnacentral:rRNA from 1 species